UUGCCUUAAACUAAUGAGUAAGGAAAACAAAGCGGGUGGUGGGAACUGCCCGCCGCGCUAACCCAAAAUUGGGCGCAAGAAUUUAUGGAGGGGAAAUAGGCUGGCCGGGUGUUGACGCUGCUUACUUUUGCAGAACUCUCUCGAGCGGGCCUCCCAC